CACGUAGGGGGCGAGCGUGUCCGGAUUUAUUGGGCGUAAAGAGCUCGUAGGCGGCUAAGUAAGUCGGGUGUGAAAACUCCAGGCUCAACCUGGAGACGCCACCCGAUACUGCUUUGGCUAGAGUCCGGUAGGGGAGCAUGGAAUUCCUGGUGUAGCGGUGAAAUGCGCAGAUAUCAGGAGGAACACCAGUGGCGAAGGCGGUGCUCUGGGCCGGAACUGACGCUGAGGAGCGAAAGCGUGGGGAGCAAACAGG
rnacentral:rRNA from 1 species